rnacentral:tRNA from 1 species
GUGGGGAUAGCUCAGUUGGGAGAGCAUCAGACUGAAGAUCUGAAGGUCGCGUGGUUAAUCCAAGUUCACCGCA